AAACCAGCACCUCAAGUGGUCAGGAUGAUUAUUGGGCCUAAAGCAUCCGUAGCCUGCUCUGUAAGUUUUCGGUUAAAUCUGUACGCUCAACGUACAGGCUGCCGGGAAUACUGCAGAGCUAGGGAGUGGGAGAGGUAGACGGUACUCGGGAGGAAGUGGUAAAAUGCUUUGAUCUCUCGAUGACCACCUGUGGCGAAGGCGGUCUACCAGAACACGUCCGACGGUGAGGGAUGAAAGCUGGGGGAGCAAACCGAAUUAGAAACCCGGGUAGUCC
rnacentral:rRNA from 1 species